rnacentral:rRNA from 1 species
UACGUAGGGGGCAAGCGUUGUCCGGAAUUAUUGGGCGUAAAGAGCGCGUAGGCGGUCCGGUAAGUCGGCUGUGAAAGUCAAGGGCUCAACCCGGAGACGCCACCCGAUACUGUCGUGACUGGAGUCCGGUAGGGGAGUGGGGAAUUCCUGGUGUAGCGGUGAAAUGCGCAGAUAUCAGGAGGAACACCGGUGGCGAAGGCGCCACUCUGGGCCGGUACUGACGCUGAGGAGCGAAAGCGUGGGUAGCAAACAGG